rnacentral:rRNA from 1 species
UCGAGAAUCUUUCACAAUGGGGGAAACCCUGAUGGAGCGACGCCGCGUGGAGGAUAAGGUCUUCGGAUUGUAAACUCCUGUCAUGCGAGAACAAAGCCUCACGGCCUGAUAGUAUCGCAAGAGGAAGAGACGGCUAACUCUGUGCCAGCAGCCGCGGUAAUACAGAGGUCUCAAGCGUUGUUCGGAAUCACUGGGCGUAAAGGGUGCGUAGGCGGCGUGGAAAGUCAGGUGUGAAAUCCGGAGGCUCAACCUCCGAAUUGCAUCCGAUACUUCCAUGCUAGAGAGUUGUAGAGGGGCUUGGAAUUCUCGGUGUAGCAGUGAAAUGCGUAGAUAUCGAGAAGAACGCUCGCAGCGAAGGCGAAGCUCUGGGCAACAUCUGACGCUGAGGCACGAAGGCUGGGGGAGCGAACGG